GGGCGGCUAGCUCAGUUGGUUAGAGCGCUUCUCUUACAAAGAAGAGGUCAGGGGUUCGAGUCCCUUGCCGCCCA
rnacentral:tRNA from 1 species